rnacentral:lncRNA from 1 species
AUUUAAGUUGGUCAUGGUGAUUCCAUUCCCCUUGCCGACCAUUGGCUUACAAAAGAGCCCGGUAACAAUUACAGCCAAUGAGAUAUGAAGGAAAGGUUUUUGAGAAGUGUGGAGAGGCUUGGGAAAGCGUUCUUGUUUUACAAAGAAAUGUCACUCUCACUACGAUCUUCACAUUUUGUUGUGUGAAGAUGUUAUGCUUACAGCUGUUGCCGCCGUCUUUUAUCCACAAGGUGACGAACUAGAGGACCGGCUGACACCCUGAGGAUGGCAGAAGAGAAUUUUGUAGAGAGUCUGGUCCUUGGUGAUAUUGUUGAGCUACUAAAUUAACCAACCCUGAACCUGCCAUCCCUCAGACUGUUCCUCCUUUGAGAAAAUAAUACUCUUUAUUGUUUAAGCCAAUUUGGGUGAAGUCCUUUGCUACUUACGGCCAAAAAAACUAAACGUGAGAAUCCAGCUCUGGUCAGAAGAUUGCCCAGUGUGCAAGGACUCCAAGUGAGCUCCCUUGGAAGCAGGUGACAACCUGGGCAAGAGGUCAGCAGUAAAGAGCAAAGGGACCUGUCUGCCAUGCUUACGCAGAAGCACCUGCUGCAUCAGGGUUUCCAAGAGCUGCCAGCUGUGUGCAGAGGCCACUAGAUGAUGAGGACGCAGGAGGGGAUCCCUGAGUUCGGUCAGGGGUGGGCCAUGCCUCUGGUUUCCAGAAACCCAGCGUUGCUUUUGAAGAUGGAACUCAGAGCCCCGCCGGCUGGAGGGGACCAAGAAGGAAAAUCUUGGAGAGGAAACUGGAAGCUGUGUCACAGACCCUGGGCUGGGAACGACAUUGCAGCUGACAUAGGAGCUCAAAGCCUGUAACCACAGGACUGUCUGCAAGUGGGGGG